UGUCGCGUGGCGAUUUGUUUACCGGAUUGCGGGCCACAAAAAAAAUGCCGCUAAAGAGGUCGAGGCCU
rnacentral:ncRNA from 1 species